GAUAAACCUAAUUCUUCAAAUUUCUUCCUAGGAAAGGCUGUCAAUUAUGGCUCUCCAUAAGAAUGACGUCACCCAGAUGAUGUAAUCAGAAACUUUUUCCUUCAUCAGUUACUACGCAAUUUUUAACGUCCAUUUGUUCCACUUCAACUGAAAACUCAUCACUUCCUGCCUGCAAAAGUUAUUUGAGUGUCCAAAAAACUAUAGUGAAUCUACAUUUUUAUUGUUAAGGGAGUCAUUUAAAUAUGAAAUUGACAUGACAGCUAAUACAAAGCUACAGUUGCUACUUGAACAAAAUUAACAUGAAUAAAAAAAGUGUAGCUGCAACUAAUAACAUUAAAGCAAAGGAAUAAAGUAUUAACUAGAGAUUUUAAACAUAACUGUUUGGUUUAAAAUUAUGGGAAUUUUAGAUUACACUUACAGUUUUUAUUGUUUUUUAAUUUUUGAAGAGAAAGAAAAGAAAAAAAAAGAUCAGCUAUAUGAUUAAAGAAAGAUAACAUGGUUAUGCAUGGAGGGAACAAAAGAGUAAUUGAAGUGAGUUAUUUAACGGACCACCGCAGCAUUGAUCGGCGUGUACGGUGCCGCCGGCGCGGUGACGUCGUCAGAGAGGUGGCAUCGUCGGCGUCAUUGUAAGUGUGAGUGUGACUGUGCGAGUGAAUAUGAGAGUGACUCAUCGUGGUUUUAAACUAGAGGCAGACUCAAAAUGUACAGUUGUCAAUAUAUAAU
rnacentral:lncRNA from 1 species